UUGGACGUGUCCCUCCCAUGGGACAAUGAUCCUUCCGCAGUGUACACUUGUAGAAGCCUUAGCGGGUCCAAAAGACCGGUUCCGCGACUCAAAACAAGAGAUGACCCCAUCCUCCACAUUGUGGGCGGGUGGCGCUAGUCGGUCCCAUGUCCAUGUUCUAUGUGACGGGGCGCCGGCGACACUAUCGAAUUGCGGGGAUACCCUAAAGGGCGGCCGUACGAACCCCGAGGUGAAAGUCUCGGGCUGCGAUAGUUAACAGCUAUCGGAAACGUAAAAAUCGGUCGCCAUGAUCCCCUGCCCGAGGAGGGGGGAAAUGGGCAAUCCGCAGCCAAGGGCCUAAGGCCGUCUUCAAGGGCGGCUACGGUCAAGGUUCACAGACUAAGUGGUAGUGGGUGUGGUCUAUGUGGCCAUGCUUAAGAUAUAGUCGGGCCAUCAGGGAAACCUGAUGGGUAAGUACACUGCAUGUGGCAAGGGUUAACCCUUCCCUACGUCUUCUGACGUUCUGUAAACCGUUCCGUAGGUGAACCUGCGGAAGGAUCAUUAAAGAGUAAGGGUCAUUCGUGGCCCGACCUCCAACCCUUUGUUGUUAUAACUACCUCGUUGCUUUGGUGGGACCGCUCGGUCUCGAGCUGCCGGUCUUCGGCCCGGCAAGCGCCCGCCAGAGUCUACUCAAACUCUUGUUUUAACCGGUCGUCUGAGUUAAACUUUUAAUUAAAUUAAAACUUUCAACAACCACCGGCUUUGGGCGUAGUAGAAUUUCUCAACGUCUUGUAAGCACCGGUUUGACUCCUUUGCCGUUAAAACCCCAAUUUUUUAACAGGUUGACCUCGGAUCAGGUAGGGAUACCCGCUGAACUUAAGCAUAUCAAUAAGCGGAGGAAAAGAAACCAACAGGGAUUGCCCUAGUAACGGCGAGUGAAGCGGCAACAGCUCAAAUUUGAAAUCUGGCACUUGUGUCCGAGUUGUAAUUUGUAGAGGAUGCUUUUAGGCAGCCACCGGUCUAAGUUCCUUGGAACAGGACGUCAUAGAGGGUGAGAAUCCCGUAUGUGACCGGACAGGCACCUUCUGUAAAGCUCCUUCGACGAGUCGAGUUGUUUGGGAAUGCAGCUCUAAAUGGGAGGUAAAUUUCUUCUAAAGCUAAAUACCGGCGAGAGACCGAUAGCGCACAAGUAGAGUGAUCGAAAGAUGAAAAGCACUUUGGAAAGAGAGUUAAAAAGCACGUGAAAUUGUUGAAAGGGAAGCGCUUGCAAUCAGACUUGUCCUCGGGUGUUCCGCCGGUCUUCUGACCGGUCUACUCAUUCGGGGGCAGGCCAGCAUCACUUUCGGCGGCCGGAUAAAGGCAUUGGGAAUGUAGCUCAACCUUCGGGGGGAGUGUUGUAGCCCAGUGGUAAUACGGCCAGCCGGGAGUGAGGUCCGC
rnacentral:rRNA from 1 species